GUUUCUAGAGAAUUACAUCAUUACCAUCAUUCUAGAUGUUUCUAAAAAAUUGAAGCAUGUUCUAACAUAUAACUGACUUGCUUCCAACUUUUCUUCCCCAUGUUCAGUUGUGAUUUCAUCUUCCCAGGUAACCAUCAUUCCAUUUUUCUUGUACCAAACAUUCUUUAAGGCUAGGUUCUUGAGAUUUGGGAACCAUGCCUUAAUAUGUCUUGGUUUCUAGCAUUCAUAAGACAAUUCAUCAUCUUCUUCAGACUCAUCUGAGUUUGACUAAUCAGAUUUCUUAGUGGACUCAUCAACCAGUGUUCUAAAAUGUGUUCCGCAAUACAUAACGCGGACGCAACAAUGUGGAUGCGGCCAGCAACGCAUCAACAACGCAUCGCAAUUGCAGUGUGAUUGAAUUUCAC